ACUUUUUAUGGCCCGGGCCUGCUCCAGAUAACUCCAUGCCCUCAGCUAUCCAACCAUUUACUGUUCUUCUCCCCCCUCACCUCCAUUUCACCUACCCAAAAAAAAAAGAACUGCUUCGCCUCGUCGAAGAACGGAUCGAGCUGGUGCCAGAUGCUGAGCGGCAGGUCCGGCACACAUCUCCCACGGGCGCACCCUGUGUGGGCUCGUUAAGCUUCCCAACAACAGUCCUUCAACCUCUCCCACACCGUCCCGCUCCACAUCCACCAGGUUUCCCCCCCUUUUUCCCAGACUGGUAUCAAUGGCAGGAAUGUUCUGGCUGAUGCAACUCUUACCUCUCGCAUAUCGAUCCAGAAAUUUUGUUGUCUAGUCUCACAGUUUAGCAAUUUCAAACGCGGGCUUGUCACCGAGACUGGAUUUGGUGGACUCAUGCAUUUGAAAAUUACCCACAAGCUCAAUUUGAAAUUCAGUUCUUCACUGAUGGUGAGAGUAGAUCCCGAGCAAUGCAUCUUAGCACUAGAUCAAACCAGGAAAAUACCAAUCACAGAACAAGAAAUAAAUGAUGCCUUUGGUCUGCCCCAAGGUAGUAGGAUUACUCCCCCAGGACAUACAGACUUAUCGGAAGUAUGCAUAGAGUUCAACAGACUGGACUCAAGCAUUAGUACAAAAGGGGUACACAGCCUGAAGGCCGCUGAAUUCAUAGUAUCGAAGCCAUUAGACGAGAAUUCAAGCAGAGUCAAUUGCGAAUGCUUCAAGGUAGUAGGAUUAUUCCCCCAGGGCAUUUUUCAAAUGUGCGGAAUCAAUGUACUCUAGCUUGCCUUGCAAUUCUAUUGGAUGGACUAGAGCAUACCCCACGGUAAUGACUGAAAAGUUCUCAAGUGAGCAGUCAGGCAUUUGUUCGAUUUACAUCACGAGGAAAUACCGACGGCGACAAUCUUCAGAGCCCGACCACAAAGGAAACACAUAGCAUUGGCACGCAUCGCCACCCUGCACGAAAUUCUGAAGCUUGAACGGAACCGAUCCGAUGCACAUAACACAGCGGUGCAGCAUAUCAGAUCAUCUAUAAACACUCUGUGGUCAUCUUUUCGGAGUUCAGCAUGUCAGUAUUCAGGAGAGGAAUGUACCCUAGUCGGCUUUGAUAUAUUUUUCAGAAUUAUUUUCGGUCA